CUGAAGGUCAAGGUGGAAAGAAAACCCUAACACCUCUUCGUAUUUAGAAAACAACUAUGUUUUUUAGGCAUAAAACAAAUGCAAUUUCUGAAUUAUUUUGGAGUUAACUGGGUAUGAUCAUGAAGAAUAAUUUACAAAUUUUAUUUCAGUGGCAGUGAAAGAUCUUUCCGUCUGAGCUAAAAUAUCUUGCCUUUUUUAGAGGUUUAUCUUACUUUGAAUCAGAACCUACUCUUCCAGUCACUAAGAAAAGAGAACUGUGAGAAUCUCCUAAGUGUACUUACAUCCUGUGAUCACCUGUGCUGACCACCCCUUCUGUUGAUUAUCCAUCAUGUGGCCUAGGCCCUGAAGUCUCUUCUUUUCUCUUACAAGAAUGCAGACUCUGGAUCCCAAAGGCCCUGUCUGAAUUCUUGCUGUGACAUUUAUUAGCUCCGUCACCUCGACAGAUGAUUUGGCAGCAAAAAGCCCUAGAUUCCCACGUGGCACCCAGAGCUGGAGUUGCGCUCAGAGAACAUAAGCUCCCUGAAGACAGUACUUUGCUUUUCUCACCCUGUGGCCCCAGCACUUGGCACAGUCCAAGGCAAGGAGAAGGGUUAAAUGCAUGGUUGAAUGAACGAGGUAGGCUUUAAAUCUAAUGAGAAUUUCUAUAAGAGGAAGAGAGGACACAGAGACUCAGGGAGAAGGCGAGCUGAAGGCAGCUGCAGUGACUGGAGUGAUACAGCUACAAGCCAAAGGAUGCCGAUAAUUGCCCCUGGAAACUAAGAGAGACCCUCAGGUCCUCCAAAAGGAACCAACCCUGUCAACACCUCACUUUCAAACUUCCAGACUCCACAAUGAUGAGAAUAAAUUUCUGUUGUUGUAAACCAUCACGUUUGUGGUAACUUGUUAUGGCAGCCCCUGGUUCACAUCCUGAAGAAGUUCCCCAGAGAUCUUUGCUUCUGCUGUCCAUGGCGGGUGGGGGGUGGAAUUUAGUUUCAUUCAGAAUCCUAAAGCUUUACUGAUCUUCCGUGCCUCAGAAGCUCCCUAUUUCUGAUUCAGCCUUUCAGCUAUGAGGUCCCACAUAGCUUUACUCAGAAACAUUCACACAUCUCAACAAAAGUGAACUCAACUGAGAAUCACAUCUUUUUCAUCUGUUUCUUUGAAAGCCCAGUAGCACCUUUGACAGGAGUGGCAUGUGGUCUAAUGCUUUGGAGCAAUCCAGUUUAAUGCAGCAACAGCAGACCCAAGCUCCUCUCACCAGAUGAACACUAUGGCACAAUUAUUAAUAUGGGGGUAUAGGAAAGAAGGUGCCACUCUGUGUGCAGAAUUCUGUGCCAGCUUCUAGGAGGGUGGGAAGAUAGG
rnacentral:lncRNA from 1 species